rnacentral:rRNA from 1 species
CCCUUAGAUGUUCUGGGCCGCACGCGUGCUACACUGAGUGGAUCAGCGGGUCAGGUUGCGCGAAAGUGUUUCCUAAUCUUGAAAUCCGCUCGUGAUGGGGAUUGAAGGUUGCAAUUUUCCGUCAUGAACGAGGAAUACCUUGUAAGCGCGGGUCAUCAUCCCGCGCUGAAUACGUCCCUGCCCUUUGUACACACCGCCCGUCGCUCCUACCGAUUGAGUGGUCCGGUGAGGCUUUGGGAUCUGAGCGGAAAGAGCGUUUCGCUGUUUCUGCUCGGAAAACUCAGUCGAACCUUAUCAUUUAGAGGAAGGAGAAGUCGUAACA